ACCGUCCUGUAGUUGAAUAGGCUC
rnacentral:miRNA from 1 species